rnacentral:rRNA from 1 species
GACGAACGCUGGCGGCAUGCUUUACACAUGCAAGUCGAACGGUAACAGGCCGCAAGGUGCUGACGAGUGGCGAACGGGUGAGUAACGCAUCGGAACGUGCCCAGUCGUGGGGGAUAACGCAGCGAAAGCUGCGCUAAUACCGCAUACGAUCUAUGGAUGAAAGCGGGGGACCGAAAGGCCUCGCGCGAUUGGAGCGGCCGAUGUCAGAUUAGGUAGUUGGUGGGGUAAAGGCUCACCAAGCCGACGAUCUGUAGCUGGUCUGAGAGGACGACCAGCCACACUGGGACUGAGACACGGCCCAGACUCCUACGGGAGGCAGCAGUGGGGAAUUUUGGACAAUGGGCGCAAGCCUGAUCCAGCAAUGCCGCGUGCAGGAAGAAGGCCUUCGGGUUGUAAACUGCUUUUGUACGGAACGAAAAGGCUCUGGUUAAUACCUGGGGCUCAUGACGGUACCGUAAGAAUAAGCACCGGCUAACUACGUGCCAGCCGCCGCCGUAAUAC